UGCCUUGUGUUCCUAGCAAGGCUGUAAUUCCCUCGACAGACCUGCAUGGCACAGAGGUGGAGGGAGCUCACGCUCCACCUUCCAAAUUGGCCUUACAGAAGUUACAGCACAAGCUGUGCAGAAAACUGUUCCCUGGGAUGCUUAUCGAGUUGGUGAGAUUGUGGACAGCACAGCCACCUGUGGUUCCCUAGUACAUCAGAGCACGAAGCAACAAUUUCCUAAACUUCAGGACUUCUCAUAUUUGACAGUGGCAUUAUUAUGAAGAAAACAAUGAAUUCAAAACAUAGAAUUAAAAUUAUUAUUCUGGAAAACUAAACACCACAAUUUUGAUGUGUUGUUGAUAUCAUCUUUGGAGGAAAAGGCAAACGUGAUUGUCUUUACUUUUAAUGAAAACUUUCUUGGGCAACAUCACAACUAUUUUGAAUGAACACUACAGAUAUCCACAGAUUAAAAGCAAUAUCUUUUGCAAAGAACUACCAUAGGAAAUGUCUUUGGGGAAGAUCC
rnacentral:lncRNA from 1 species